GGCUUUUGUCUCUCGCUGCAGCCAGAGCUUGGGAUCGCUUUCUGCUAUUCAACGUCCUCCACCUCUGCCCCCCUCUCGCCCCAGCCGGUGACAGGCUGUUGCCCUGUGAUCUGCAGGUCCUGGGACGUGCACAGACAGCUAAGAUGCCAGGACAUUCCAGAAGGUGGGAAAGGGAGGAGACUGUAACGUAUCCCUAAUUGAGCACCCAGGUGGUGUGACACUUCUGCCCUGUCCCUGCCCUCAGAGGAGAUUCUGACAUAUCACUGCCCCAAAAUGCAGCACCUGAGUAAUUUGACUCUCCUGCCUGGACCCAGCGUACAGAUGGGAUUGUGCUUCAUUGCUGGACCCAGCAUUUAGGCCCACUACCUAUGAGAUUGCAUGCUCCUGCCUGGGCUGUGCCCACAGUGACCUUGUGACAUAUAUCUGCAUCCAUGACCUAAAAGAUGUGACACUUCUUGCCUGCAACCUGCCCUGCACAGGAAAGAUUGCGACUUCUCCCUGGAAGCAGACACCAGGAGAGAACUGUAACAUAUCCCUGGAUGAGCACCCAGGUGAUGUGAUAUUCCUGCUUGGUUCUUUCCCUCAGGGAAGAUUGUGAGAUACCCUUGGCUGAAAUCCCAGGUCAUACAGAAUUGCCACCCUCCAACAUAUCAUAUAAUGCCCUCGAGUGUUACAAAGAGUGUUAUCCCAAGGCACACAGCACAAAGGGAUCGUCACUCCCGUGGAUGAUCAAAGGCGCCUGUAAUUUCAGCUACUCCGGGGGCUGAGGCAGGAGAAUCGCUUGAACUCGGGAAGCAGAAGUUGCAGUGAGCCAAGGUCGCACCACUGCACUCCAGCCCAGGCGACAUUGUGAGACUCCAUCUCAAAAAAAAAAAAAAGAAAAAAAGUGUACUAACAAGACCCAGCACACAGAGGAGACUUUUACCAUUGUAUGAACACCCAUCAAACAGUACACAUCAUCAUUGUGAGUUCUGAAUCUCACACAUAGAGGAAGUCAAAGGUGGAAAACUUGACUCUCAUAUUUGGAUCCAGUCCACAGGUUCUGCUAGCAAGGAAGACUGAGACAUAUUGUGGGGCUCUACGCCAAUGUGACAUUACUGUUCUGCCUUGGCCUGUACCUGAAAAGGCAUUGUGACAUAUUGCUGGGCCCAGCAACAAGGUGGCAUGAGUCUUCCGUAUGGACCCUGACAACAGAGCAUUGUGACAUAUCUUUAAGAGCAUCAACUAUUUGAUGUGACUCUCCUUUUCUACCAAGGCUUUCCUCAUAUGAGAGAUUGUGACACAUCUUCUGGCACAGAAAUCAAGUGAUGUGUUUCUCCUGCCUGAGCUUUGCUCAUAGAAAGCAUUGUGACAUAUCUCUGGUCUCAGCACCCAGGUGUGAUUUUGACGCACACUUCUGCCCAGCACCUGAGUAAUGUGAUUCUUCAGAAUUGGCCCGGCCCACAAAUAGGAUUGUGCCACACUGCUGGACCCAGUGCCUAAGUGAUGUAACUCUAUUCUUCUGCCUUGGUGCUACUCGAAAAAGACAUUGUAACAUAUCUCAGAGCCUUACACCCAGGUAAUGUGAGUCUCCUCUUCUGCCUUGCUGCUGCACACAGAAGCGGAAUAUGUACAGGAUUGUUAAUCUCAUCUUGGAUCUUCCUGCACUUGUGAUUGUGACACAUGCCUCUGUGUAGAACCUGAGUGAGUUUACUCUCCUGCCUGGAUUUAACCCAUAGAUGGAAUCGUGACAUAUCACUGUACCAGAAACUAGGUGAUGUGACUCUAUUUUCUUGCCUCUGUGUUUUUAUAUGGGGCAUCGUGACAUAUCACUGGGCCUUGCACCCAAGUGAUGGGAGUUUUCUCUCCUGCUUUGGUGCCGUCCACAAUGAAAAUUGUGAAAUAUUGCUGCCCUCCCCACUAGGUUAUGUUACUCUCCUGCCUCUGCUUUGCCCACAUGGGUCACUGUGACAUAUUGCUGGGUCUAAAACCCAGGUAAUGUCACUCUCUUGUUUGGGUUCUGCCUGCAGGAGUCAUUGUCACAUAUCUCUAUGCUCAUCACCCAGGUAAUAUGAUUCCCUUUUACUGCUUAGUUCCUUCUCACAAAACAACUUGUGACAUAUUGCUAGGCCCAAUACACCUAGCUGGUGUAACUCUUCUUUUCUUUUCUUUCCUUUUUUUUUUUUUUUUUUUGAGAUGGAGUCUCACUCUGUUGCCCAGGCUGGAGUGCAGCGGCAUGAUUUCAGCUCACUACAGCCUCUGCCUCCUAGGUUGAAGCGAUUGUCCUGACUUGGCCUCCCAAGUAGCUGGGAUUAAAGGCAUGUGCCACCACGCCCGGCUAAUUUUUGUAUUUAUAGUAGAGACAGGGUUUCGCCAUGUUGGCUAGGCUGGUUUCGAACUUCUAACCUCAGGUGAUCCUCCUGCCUCGGCCUCCCAAAGUACUGGAAUUACAGGCAUGAGCCACUGCACCUGGCCUGAUUCUUCUCUUCUUUCUAGGUUUCAACUGCAGCAGAGAUUGUAACAAACCACUGGGCCCAGCCGCAUAAUGAUGUUACUCUUUUGCCUUGGGCCUGCCCUCAGAAGGCACUGUCACAUAUUCAUGGGCCCAACGCCAAGGUGAUAUGUGUCUCCAGCCUGGACCCUGCCCACAGGGGGCAUUGUGACAUAUCUCUUGGCCCAUCAGAUGUUUGAUUGUUAUCCCCUCCCCUCUUCUACCCUGUGUUUGCCUAUAAAAGACACAGUCAUAUGUUCCUGGGCCCAGCACCUAGGUGUUGUCUUACUGGAAUGUGUCCACAUGGGGAUUGUGAUAUGUCACGUGGCCCAGUACUUAACUUGAUGUGACUCUCCUCUCAUGCCUAGGCCUUGUAGAGAAUCCCCUUCCCCUUUUGUUUUCCUUUUUUUCUUUGCAGAUCCAGGAGAUAAUCAACUAAGAGCCAGGCACCCGUUUAGGUCUAAUAAACAUUUUACAAACUGCUCUCUCUUUUAAUUCACCUAUCUGAGAGAUUCCUCUGUACAAUAAAACUUGGUCUCCACAAUCCUUUACCUUAACCUAAACCUUCCCUUUCAUUGAUCCCAGGUCUUCAGAUUCCACCACUUGUCAACCACAAAAUAUUUAAAUUUACCUGGAAGCCGCCCGCUUUGAGUUGUCCCGCCUUUCUGAACCAAACCAAUAUAUUCCUGCAAAACCGGCCAUGAUUAAAACAUCAAAAAAUAAUACAUGUUGGCGUGGCUGUGGUGAAAAAAGAAUACUUUUUCACUGCUGGUGGGUAUGUAAACUAGUACAACCACUAUGAAAAACAGUAUGGAGAUUCAUUAAAUAAAAGUAAAGCUACCAUUUGAUUAAGCAAUUCUACUACUGUGUAUCUACAUGAAGAAAAAGAAAUUAUAUGUGUAAGACACUUGCACACACAUGUUUAUAGCAGCACAAUUUGCAAUUGCAAAAAUAUGGAAGCAGCCUAAUGCCCAUCAGCUAAUGAGUGGAAAAAGAAAAUGUGGCAUAUAUAUACCAAUGCAUACUACUCAGCCCUAACGAGGAAUAAAAUAAUAGCAUUUGCAGCAAUCUCGAUUUAGUUGGAGACCAUUAUUCUAAGUAACUCAGCAAUAAAAAA
rnacentral:lncRNA from 10 species